ACUUUAUAACCCAAAUUUGUGUUGACACAUGCGUUGUACAUAUAUAUGCCAAUAUGAAUUCCAGAAUCAUUGUAAUAAMUGAAAAAUGGCACCCAAAAAAGUAAGUAUUGGUAAAAGAUCUCCAAAUUAAAGAAUGUUAAGGAAAAAAGAGCAAAUAAAAAAGCUGAUGAACGUGAGUUACGCCUUGAGAAAAAUCGUAACAGAAUAUAUACAAGAAGAAAUAUAGAAACUAAAGGAGAGCAUGAAUCUUGGCUUCAAAAAGAUAGUGAAAAAAAAUCUUCCUUGCAAGUUACCGAGGGAAUCCAAAAACGUACGCAAAGACUUGAUGCCAUUCGUAACCGAAUAGUUCAAUUACGAAAAAAAUUUAUUUAAAUAUGGCGGCGUUCAACUACAAUAAGGCUGAUGAUUUCAGAAAUUACAAAWACGCGGUGCUUUGCAGUUCGCUAAAGAAUCCCCUGGAAUGUGCUGUUCGAACGCGCUACUAUUCUAUAUUUUACAGGUGAGACGCGAAAUGCAAACGUCAACAUUAAAACAUAGAAUUGCGAAAUGCAGGAUUUUGAGAAGGGAAACUCAAUUUACAAUGUGACGGCACGAAUUUGGUCAUCUACAAUAAGAGAGGGCUUAGAACGGAUAUUUUGUACUCUUUAUGGAACGUUUGAUCCGGUGGGACAAACAAUUGACAUCACCUUGAUUUUCACCAGCUUCGAAAAUUAAUUAGAAACAAAAAAGUAUCGACUUUGCCCUAAACUCAAUUUUAAUAUAAUGAUGCACGAUACAGUGAAUGAGACUAGCUGAAGAUCAACGUGGUAAAAUGUGGCAAUUUAUCCAUUCGGAAUAUCGAUACUUUCGAUGAAGGUUUCGAACGACUGUAGCAAAUACGAGUAGCUGAAAUUCAUACUGAACCAUCAAUUUUGUUUACGAGAUAUUUUCAUGAAACUGGCAUAAACUCUUUCACAGGCCGAAGAAAUUGCUCAGAUCGGAUCAAUAAAGCACAAUACAAAAUGAACGGCCGGAAUGAUGUUUCAGUUUGGAAUUAUUUGACUGAGAGAUGCGUGUUAUAGUUUCCCGAUUAAAAUUUUUUUAUUUAUAAUUCAUUUUAUUUUAACCUAUUAA